rnacentral:rRNA from 1 species
UACGGAGGGGGCUAGCGUUGUUCGGAAUUACUGGGCGUAAAGCGCACGUAGGCGGCUUUGUAAGUUAGAGGUGAAAGCCCGUAGCUCAACUCCGGAACUGCCUUUAAGACUGCAUCGCUUGAACGUCGGAGAGGUAAGUGGAAUUCCGAGUGUAGAGGUGAAAUUCGUAGAUAUUCGGAAGAACACCAGUGGCGAAGGCGACUUACUGGACGACUGUUGACGCUGAGGUGCGAAAGCGUGGGGAGCAAACAGG